rnacentral:rRNA from 1 species
UCCUACGGGGCGCAGCAGUGGGGAAUAUUGCACAAUGGGGGAAACCCUGAUGCAGCGACGCCGCGUGAGUGAAGAAGUAUUUCGGUAUGUAAAGCUCUAUCAGCAGGGAAGAUAAUGACGGUACCUGACUAAGAAGCCCCGGCUAACUACGUGCCAGCAGCCGCGGUAAUACGUAGGGGGCAAGCGUUAUCCGGAUUUACUGGGUGUAAGGGGUGCGUAGGUGGCAGGGCAAGUCAGAUGUGAAAGCCCGGGGCCCAACCCCGGUACUGCAUUUGAAACUGUCCAGCUGGAGUGCAGGAGAGGCA